AUGGUCCAGAUACUGUCCUUGAACCAUAGCGGAGAUGGUAGACUGAGUAGCAUGCCCUACAUACCGGCAGACGUCACAAACCUAAAGGCAAAGUACCGAAGAGAGAGCAGGUUGGCUGACAUAGAAGACAUGAUAGCCUACUUCGAAGAGAAAGCAAAAGCGGAUGCCGAUUUCUUCUACAUGAUAAGAUUGGACGAUGAGGACCGUGUCAGAAACAUGUAUUGGGUGGAUGGUGCUGCAAGAAGAGCCUACAAACAUUUCCAUGAUUGCAUUUCAUUCGACGCGGCAUAUCUCACAAAUAUGUACAAGAUGCCAUGCGCUCUAUUCAUAGGAAUAAAUAACCACAAUCAGUCAUUGCAGUUCGAUGCGGACUCGUUCGGAACGAAGAUACGGAUGGUUACACUGGGCUGUUCAAAACCUUCUUGGAGUGCAUGGGUGGACUUGCUCCGAUGA
rnacentral:rRNA from 1 species